AUGGGGAGCCGCAUGUCCGGGGUAGACUUCGAGUGGGUCUACACCGACCAGCCCCACGCUGACCAGGACCAGGAGAUCCUGGCAAAGUAUCCAGAGAUAAAAUCCUUGAUGAAACCUGAUUCCAACUUGAUAUGGAUUAUAAUUAUGAUGGUUCUCACCCAGUUGAUUGCAUUUUAAUUAGAAAAAGACUUGGACUGGAAAUGGGUCAUAUUUUGGGCCUACGUCUUUGGCUGCUGCAUUAAUCACUCAAUGAUUCUGGCUAUUCAAGAGAUUUCCCACAAUUUUGCGUUUGGCUACCACAAGGCACUGUGGAAUCGCUUGUUUGGAAUGUUUGCCAAUCUUCCUAUUAGGGUUCCAUAUUUGAUUUCCUUUAAGAGGUAUCACAUGGAUCAUCAUCGAUAUCUUGGAGCUGACGGCAUCGAUGUGGAUAUUCCUACUGAUUUUGAGGGCUGGUUCUUCUGUACCACUUUCAGAAAGUUUCUAUGGGUUAUUCUUCAGCCUCUCUUUUAUGCUUUUUGAUCUCUGCUCAUCAACCCCAAACCAAUUUCUCAUCUGGAAAUUAUCAAUACUGUGGCCCAGAUCAUUUUUGACAUUAUAGUUUACUACGUUUUGGGAAUUAAAUCUUUAGUCUACAUUGUUGGCAGCAUCCCUACUUGGUCUGGGUUUGCACCCGAUUUCUGGACAUUUCAUGGCUUAACAUUACAUGUUUUUAAAGGGGCAUGAAACUUACUCAUAUUAUGGGCCUCUGAAUUUACUCACCUUCAAUGUGGGUUACCACAAUGAACAUCAUGACUUCCUCAAUGUUCCUGGAAAAAAAACCUCCCACUGGUGAGGAAAAUAGCAGCUGAAUACUACUACAACCUCCCCCAGUACAAUUCCUGGGUGAGAGUACUGUACGAUUUUGUGAUGGAUGAUACAAUAAGUCCCUACUCAAGAAUGAAGAGGCAUCCAAAAGGGAAGCAGAUACUGGAGUAAAUAUCACCACAGCCCAAGGAAUUCCUCUCUGAAGCUUUAAAAUAGCUGACAAAGUGAAUUUUUUGCUGAAAACUGAAGAUCAGUGAUGCUUAGAAGCUAUCAUGACACAAUUUCAAACUAGGAUCUUCCUGCUAUUAAGAAACUAAUCUGGGGCUGGGGAUGUAUCUCAAUGAUGGAGCACUUGCCUGCAGCAUGCCUGAGGCCCUGGGUUC